rnacentral:lncRNA from 1 species
UCGAAUAACUAAAAGUAAGAAAAACUGUGAACCUAUAGUUUGGAGGAUGCAAAUCCAAUGGUAGCCUCGAUGAAAUCAGCUAUCUACAGCCUAUUCUGAGCCUGAAAUGGGUGGAAAGGAAGGUGGUGAGAUUAUAUAAUCCCAGUGAGUAAACAAAUACCAUCUAAAAUAUCUAAAGCCGAGUAAAUGGAGACAGAUAAAAUAGUUUAACAUAUUGUAAUUCAUCACCUUUCAACUUGUUUCAACCAAAUAAAAUCAAUUCAUAUAAAUCGAGUAAUUAACAUGGCUUAUGAAUUUCUUAAAAGUUUGGCUCGUGCCAAAAUCAUUCUCAUACCCAAUUAUCAAGGAUACCUUGAUCGAGGGCUAUCCCAACCGAGUCCGCCAAGGCUGUUAAAAAGUUAUGUACGUAUAAAUUAUGUUUUUAUUUUGAAAAUAUAGCCGUUCCUUGGCGUUGGCUGAGUUCACCCUCACGUGGUGGUUUGGCGUGAAGUGAACUCUAAAGUUAUACCUCGGGAGAUACCCUACUCGCCUCUCCAACAGAGGUAAAAUAUAACAGGAUUCUGUGCCUCUCUAAUAGGCUGGUCUAUAGAAAAUCCGCCUACUGCAGCAAGUUAAACCCACCAUACAAUAAAAUUUACAAUAGCAUGACAUGACAAUUAUUUUAUUUUAUUUUAUAGCUUUUCAAGGCAAAUAAACAAUUUAUACAUUUCCAACACAUUUAUCAAAUCAACCAUUCAUGCCAAUAUUGCCAUAAGCCAAUCAAUUGGAAUCAUGAAUUUACAACACACAAAAACAGUCUCCAAUUACUCUAUUUUCAAACCAUCAUUCAAUUUCAAGACAAUUUUUAAAAUCAUUUUAUUUAAACACAUUUUGUUUAUAAAAUCAAAAAAUUAAUCAUUUAAUUCAUUUUCCAUAAAAUUCACAAAAUCAAAUAAAACAUACUUUAGAUAAUUAAGAUGAUGAUAAGGUUACUCACUAUUUUGGGAGUCAAAUUCCAAGUACUCCAAUUCUUGAUCCUCGGGUACUAUCUCUUUACUUUUACCAGAAUACUCACCAUCUAGACAUAAUGCACAAUAAGCCAUUUACUACAUUGUGCUAAAUUGUUAUAAAACCAAUUCAGGCUUGAUACUAAUGUAUGAAAUGGGAUGCAAAUUGUUCGAUUAUUGUCUAAACACGGUAUUCUACACAAAUUCAAUUGUGUACCUAAAUUAAACGGUAUUGGUCUAAUUCGAUCUAUCACUCGAUUAAUUGGCCAAUACGUCCAAUUCAACUCCAAAUAAUUUCAUUUUUCUCCCAAUACUCCAAAUCAUCAAACACAAAUUAAAUAACUUAAAAUAGGGCAAAAUCAUCCUCACAUUUUCUCUUGAAAAAUUCGACCAUGGUGGGUGCAUCAAUAUUAUGAUUUUUCCUACUUGAUUUUCACACCAUAAAUCACUAAUUCCUAACCAAAUCACUUGAAAUAAAAUCAAAAUCAUCAUCAAUAUUCCACAUGGAGAAUUCGGCCAAUGAUGGGUGAUGGGAGAAAAUGAAUUUUUCUUGUUGGCUUUUCAUGCUACACAACACUAACUAACUAAAAACACUAAAAUAUCUUAAAAUCUAACCAAAUCAAGCAUCAAAACCUCUCUCUAAGUGUUCAGCCAGCAAGAUACCCAUCAUGAAAUCAUGUGAUUCAACCAUGGAAAAUGCAAAAGAAUGCAUGAGAAAGGUAGAUCACACGUCAAAAUCAAGAAAUUUUACCUUUGAUUGUUUGAUUACUUGAAAUCCACUAAUUUUCUCUUGAAUUUUCACCCUAGGGUUCUUGUUCUUUCUUUUCUUCCUUUGUUCUUCCUUUGGCCGGCCAUAUGAAGAGAAAUAGGCUGAUU